UCAGCACUUAUUAUAGUAAGCGGAACAGCGCUACAUUAUUUCCUAGAUAAUGAUGAAUGUUUAUCAUGAAGGUCUAGUAAUACUAGUAGUCUAUAAUGGACACUUAAGUCAUUGUCCCGCUCCCACAAGGCAGUGGUUGCGUGCUACGCCGAGGCAAGUCUCUCUGCAUUUCCCUUCCGAGAUCAAGGGCAAGGCUUUCCAUAUUUGAAUAACUAGCAGAUGAUCGAUAUAGUGGUACCAUCAGCUACAAUUGCUCGAUUAUUGCUGCUACUGUCACAUCAGUUCACCAGAUUAAUAAACCUCCCAAUUUCACAUCGGUUAAUUGGGUGUGCUAGAGUAGCUAUGCGUCUGCAUCAGCUUUAAGUUACUUCUGAACACUACCACAUGCCUGCAGUUACUACUACCGCAAAAAAACACAAGUCGAGUGCCGUGUUUUCAGGUUUAGAUAAAGGAGGGUGUUAGGUUUCAGUUUGGGUUCACUCACGUGGUCUGACCAGGCGUGCUCCCUGUUGUAGAUGAUGGCCGCGCCGAGGCUCCUCGCCGGGUUGAUGCCGGUGCCGGUGAUGGGGAUGGUGGCCAGGUGGACCAGGAACACGGCGAACCCGAUGGGCAGCGGGGCGAGGAUCUGCCGUCGUUCCACGGGCAAUAAGUAGCCAUGCAUUAAUAACCAAGCACAGCACGGCAGUAAUUAAGGAAAUUCAACAGGGGAAGAAGAGAAGGGCAGUAAUGGUAUUGGUAGGUACUCACGGGAACGUGGGAGUCCCUGGCGUUCCUCUUGGCGUCGGUGGCGGAGAAGACGGUGUAGACGAGGACGAAGGUGCCGAUGAUCUCGGCGCCGAGCCCGGAGCCCUUGGUGUAGCCGGACGCCACCACGUUGGCGCCGCCGCCGUUGCCCAUGUACAGGCCCUGCUGGAACCCCUUGACCACGCCGGCGCCGCAGAUGGCGCCCAGGCACUGCAUGAUGAUGUAGAACACCGCCCUCGUCAGCGACAGCUUCCUCGCCAGGAACAGCCCGAAGGUCACCGCCGGGUUGAUGUGCCCGCCUGCAUCCCAAUCCCAUCCAUCCAUCCAUCCGUUAGCAGUCAGCAAAAACGGAAGAAGAAAAACACAGGAAAAGGCUACAGGAAUCAAGAAAAAACAGUACCAGAGAUGCCGGCGGUGCAGUAGACGAGGGCGAAGAUCAUGCCGCCGAAGGACCAGGCGAUGCCCUGGAUGCCGACGGUGGCGCACUUGGAGGCGGCGCCGCUGUAGCCCAUGACGGUGAGGAUGGUGACGUAGAGGAAGAGGAAGGUGGCCAUGAACUCGGCGAUGCCGGCGCGGUAGAAGGACCACGACUUGAGCUCGCCGGGCUCGAACAGCGGCGCCGGCGGGGGCUCCUUGUAGUCCUUGUCCUCGGACCCCUGCGCCGCCGUGCCGAUGGGCUGCCGCUCCGA
rnacentral:lncRNA from 1 species